ACCAGACUCCUACGGGAGGCAGCAGUGGGGAAUAUUGCACAAUGGGGGAAACCCUGAUGCAGCAACGCCGCGUGAGUGAAGAAGUAUUUCGAUAUGUAAAGCUCUAUCAGCAGGGAAGAAGAUGACGGUACCUGAUUAAGAAGCCCCGGCUAACUACGUGCCAGCAGCCGCGGUAAUACGUAGGGGGCAAGCGUUAUCCGGAAUCACUGGGUGUAAAGGGAGCGUAGACGGCUGUGCAAGCCUGAAGUGAAAGGCGGGGGCCCAACCCCUGGACUGCUUUGGGAACUGUACGGCUGGAGUGCAGGAGAGGUAAGUGGAAUUCCUAGUGUAGCGGUGAAAUGCGUAGAUAUUAGGAGGAACACCAGUGGCGAAGGCGGCUUACUGGACUGUAACUGACGUUGAGGCUCGAAAGCGUGGGGAGCAAACAGGAUUAGAUACCCGAGUA
rnacentral:rRNA from 1 species